rnacentral:rRNA from 1 species
UACGUAGGGGGCUAGCGUUGUCCGGAAUCAUUGGGCGUAAAGAGCGUGUAGGCGGCCCGGUAAGUCCGCUGUGAAAGUCGGGGGCUCAACCCUCGAAUGCCGGUGGAUACUGUCGGGCUAGAGUGCGGAAGAGGCGAGUGGAAUUCCUGGUGUAGCGGUGAAAUGCGCAGAUAUCAGGAGGAACACCAAUGGCGAAGGCAGCUCUCUGGGACGGUACUGACGCUGAGACGCGAAAGCGUGGGGAGCGAACAGG